rnacentral:lncRNA from 1 species
CAGGAUACCCAGACCUGGUGCUGUUCCAUGGAGCAGUGGGCCAUGUUCUGAUGUCCAUGGGCCGCUGUGAGCGGUGCUGGUGGAAGAGCAGAGCCAGUGGUUCUCUGCCCAUGAGCACAGUUGGGAACAGAGCAGUCCAAAUGCACCAAAAUGACUUGAAAUAAAGUGGUCUAGGACUGAUUUGCACAAAACUUUGUCUUAUGCCCAUGAAAAUGUUGAGACAGGUGGCAAAGACAGGUGAGAGCGUGGAGCUAUCAUUUGUUCAGGCGUUGAGGUAGGACCUGAAGCACGCUGGGGUGAAAGAUGCCUGCAGGCUACCGUUAACACCUCCUAAUGAUAAGAAGACCAAAUGUCUGGCUGGUCACAGAUGGAUGAGUUUGAAAUGUUACAUAGAUGGAAGAAACCAGCAGUGCAGAGAGUCUCAAGAGGAAGAGAUGUCCCCCAUAGAGGCAGCUGUUUCUCUACCAUGAAAGUGAGUUGUGUGAUGUGGGAUUUGGAUGGGGCACCCAACCUGCCAACAGCCAUCUGGGCAGUGGCUUAAGAUAUGGCCGUGAAAAGAUGACAUGGAGAGGCACUAAGGCUGGAGCCUACAGUGUAAAGGGAAACAUGCCAUGGAUGAAAUCCUGCUGCUUAAGAAGCAUUAGCAGACACUCAGUUAUCAUCAGGGGACUUUAGCUUUUGUGGCAUCCAAGAUAGUUGCAGCUGUGCAUUCAGAUGGUGGCUGGACAGGAGCAAUAAGGAAACCACAUCCAAGGGGCAGAGGAAGCCCCAGGGACAUCAGAGGUGCCCAUCCUCGACCUGUCCUGCUGAGAAAGAGCAAGCCAGCUCUACCCUUUGGCCAAAAUCAGAAAUAGGUAGAAAUAAGUGACAGUGCUCUGUGGAUAUCUGUUCCUUAGGUUCUACUUUAGGUAGUAUGGUUGGGUUUUGAUGGAAUUUGUUUCUCGUGCUUGUGGAUGUGUAAUGUUAGGCAGAG